UCAGCAGCUCCAUGCUCCAGUGCUCUGGGAGAGUUUAUAGUCCUGACAGUUGAACACUGGAUGACUGACAGCUGUCCUUCAUCACAACAGAAGACACAGAAAUCCUUCUCAUCACAAACAUGACUUUGAUCUGCGUCCUCAUCUGGACUCUCCUCUGCUGCUGCUUCACAGGAGACACAGAAAUCCUCUUCAUCAAAAACAUGACUUUGAUCUGCGUCCUCAUCUGGACUCUCCUCUGCUGCUGCUUCACAGAGGUAAGAGGUCAGAUCACAGUGACUCAGCCUGGAACAGUGCACUCUGCUGUUGGAGAAUCCAUCACAAUCAACUGUAGGACUAGUCAGAGUGUCUAUUCUUGGAAUAGCAAGGAUUAUAUGGCUUGGUACCAACAAAAAGAUGGAAAAUUCCCUAAACUUCUCCUGGUUGAUGCUAAUAGACCUGCAGAUGGGAUACCUAGUCGCUUCAGAGGCAGUGGUUCCAGUUCUGACUUCACUCUGACCAUCAGCGGGGUCAGGGCUGAAGAUGCAGCAGUUUACCUUUGUCACUGUGUUCAUGUGGGUUAUAGACCAGGGCCGCACACACAGUCAAAACUCUUCAUACAAAAACUUCCUUCUAAAAUAAACUUACUUUUGCCAUAG